CUGGCAGACCUAUUGACUGACCUCUUCCUUUUACCCACUGAGCAGGUACAGCAUAGGCAGUGGCACAGCAGACUUCUUCAGAGUGCUCCAGCAGUUUGCUUCAAUCUUCCCCUGCAAAGACUACUCCUAAAGGUGAGAGGGUAAUUCAAUCUCCAUGCCCAGGCAAACCUUAACCUCU
ensembl:misc_RNA